UACGUAGGGUGCGAGCGUUUGUCCGGAAUUAUUGGGCGUAAAGGGCUCGUAGGCGGUCUGUCGCGUCAGGAGUGAAAACUCGGGGCUCAACCCCGAGCCUGCUUCUGAUACGGGCAGACUAGAGGUAUGCAGGGGAGAACGGAAUUCCUGGUGUAGCGGUGAAAUGCGCAGAUAUCAGGAGGAACACCGGUGGCGAAGGCGGUUCUCUGGAACGCAACUGACGCUGAGACGCGAAAGCGUGGGGAGCAAACAGG
rnacentral:rRNA from 1 species